UACUGCGUCAUGCUCCUUGUCUAGGCUGGCCACCCUGAUGGGCACCUGACUGGACUUUAGAAACAUCCCAUCUGUGGGAACAAAAAAGAUAGAAACACCAUGUCCGUGGGAACAAGAAGAAAUAACUCAAAGUAUCUGAAUGUCUGAAACCCUGAGUCAGAAUCCAGAGAAACCUCAGGAUAAAAGGGAGUCACAGACAUAGAACAAUUGGGAGUCUCAUGGGGAGAGGACGCUUUGCCUCAGACCGGACAAUUGGCACUCCCACCUGCCGUACAAACUAUUGGGACUUCCCUGGCUGAUUGUGGUGUGGAUGUUGCUACACAACGUUCCUGAGAGUAUUUAUUCUGAGACAAAAAUGCCAGUCACAUCUUUAAGACCUUACUUAACAAGGAACUAACGAGAAAACAAGUUGGAAGCUUUUAGGUAAAGUCCAGCGCUUCAUUUAUACCAAGUGUGUGAGAAGAGGUCAGUAGAGAUUAUCUAAUCCUGAAUCAAUCGUGACAUCAUCCAUUCAAGUCCAAGACACAUUCUCUCACCUGCUGCAUUGGUUUUAAUGCAAAAAAAAAAACCCCAACCUAAAAAGGGCAAAUGGGAGAUAACAAACCUAAAUGUCCGUUGCUAUGGAAAUGGAUAAAUAAAUGUGGAGUAGUGAUAGAAUGCCUGUUAAAG
rnacentral:lncRNA from 1 species